rnacentral:rRNA from 1 species
CACGGCGGGUGCUAACGUCCGUCGUGAAGAGGGAAACAACCCAGACCGCCAGCUAAGGUCCCAAAGUCAUGGUUAAGUGGGAAACGAUGUGGGAAGGCCCAGACAGCCAGGAUGUUGGCUUAGAAGCAGCCAUCAUUUAAAGAAAGCGUAAUAGCUCACUGGUCGAGUCGGCCUGCGCGGAAGAUGUAACGGGGCUAAACCAUGCACCGAAGCUGCGGCAGCGACGCUGAUGCGUUGUUGGGUAGGGGAGCGUUCUGUAAGCCUGCGAAGGUGGCCUGUGAGGGUUGCUGGAGGUAUCAGAAGUGCGAAUGCUGACAUAAGUAACGAUAAAGCGGGUGAAAAGCCCGCUCGCCGGAAGACCAAGGGUUCCUGUCCAACGUUAAUCGGGGCAGGGUGAGUCGACCCCUAAGGCGAGGCCGAAAGGCGUAGUCGAUGGGAAACGGGUUAAUAUUCCCGUACUUGGUGUUACUGCGAAGGGGGGACGGAGAAGGCUAUGUUGGCCGGGCGACGGUUGUCCCGGUUUAAGCGUGUAGGUGUGUGUUCCAGGUAAAUCCGGUUCACUUUAACACUGAGGCGUGAUGACGAGGCACUACGGUGCUGAAGCAACAAAUGCCCUGCUUCCAGGAAAAGCCUCUAAGCAUCAGGUAACAUCAAAUCGUACCCCAAACCGACACAGGUGGUCAGGUAGAGAAUACCAAGGCGCUUGAGAGAACUCGGGUGAAGGAACUAGGCAAAAUGGUGCCGUAACUUCGGGAGAAGGCACGCUGACACGUAGGUGAAGUGAUUUACUCAUGGAGCUGAAGUCAGUCGAAGAUACCAGCUGGCUGCAACUGUUUAUUAAAAACACAGCACUGUGCAAACACGAAAGUGGACGUAUACGGUGUGACGCCUGCCCGGUGCCGGAAGGUUAAUUGAUGGGGUCAGCGCAAGCGAAGCUCCUGAUCGAAGCCCCGGUAAACGGCGGCCGUAACUAUAACGGUCCUAAGGUAGCGAAAUUCCUUGUCGGGUAAGUUCCGACCUGCACGAAUGGCGUAAUGAUGGCCAGGCUGUCUCCACCCGAGACUCAGUGAAAUUGAACUCGCUGUGAAGAUGCAGUGUACCCGCGGCAAGACGGAAAGACCCCGUGAACCUUUACUAUAGCUUGACACUGAACAUUGAGCCUUGAUGUGUAGGAUAGGUGGGAGGCUUUGAAGUGUGGACGCCAGUCUGCAUGGAGCCGACCUUGAAAUACCACCCUUUAAUGUUUGAUGUUCUAACGUGGACCCGUGAUCCGGGUUGCGGACAGUGUCUGGUGGGUAGUUUGACUGGGGCGGUCUCCUCCUAAAGAGUAACGGAGGAGCACGAAGGUUGGCUAAUCCUGGUCGGACAUCAGGAGGUUAGUGCAAUGGCAUAAGCCAGCUUGACUGCGAGCGUGACGGCGCGAGCAGGUGCGAAAGCAGGUCAUAGUGAUCCGGUGGUUCUGAAUGGAAGGGCCAUCGCUCAACGGAUAAAAGGUACUCCGGGGAUAACAGGCUGAUACCGCCCAAGAGUUCAUAUCGACGGCGGUGUUUGGCACCUCGAUGUCGGCUCAUCACAUCCUGGGGCUGAAGUAGGUCCCAAGGGUAUGGCUGUUCGCCAUUUAAAGUGGUACGCGAGCUGGGUUUAGAACGUCGUGAGACAGUUCGGUCCCUAUCUGCCGUGGGCGCUGGAGAACUGAGGGGGGCUGCUCCUAGUACGAGAGGACCGGAGUGGACGCAUCACUGGUGUUCGGGUUGUCAUGCCAAUGGCACUGCCCGGUAGCUAAAUGCGGAAGAGAUAAGUGCUGAAAGCAUCUAAGCACGAAACUUGCCCCGAGAUGAGUUCUCCCUGAGACUUUAGGUCUCCUGAAGGAACGUUGAAGACGACGACGUUGAUAGGCCGGGUGUGUAAGCGCAGCGAUGCGUUGAGCUAACCGGUACUAAUGAACCGUGAGGCUUAACCUUACA